CAACUAUGCGCGGGGGCACUACACCAUCGGCAAGGAGAUCAUCGACCUGGUCCUCGACCGCAUCCGCAAGCUGAGCAGACCCCGUGCGCUGCGGACACCGCAGGGGCUGGCUGCAGUGAUGGGCGGGAGCCGAGUGUCCCGGGGCUCUGCGGGAAGAAGCCCCCUUUCCUGGGAAGGCAGAUCCUGCUGCUGCGCACGGCUGUGUGGCUGCAAAUGGCAUCGGGGGGCUAUGGCAGACCCUGGCUGUAUAUAAUAUAUAUUCCUGAUAUGAGAUGCCCCAAUAGCCUGACGCACUGGGGCUGACCAGUGCACAGGCCUGCAGGGCUUCCUGGUCUUCCACAGCUUCGGUGGGGGCACCGGCUCUGGCUUCACCUCCCUGCUCAUGGAGCGCCUCUCUGUCGACUAUGGCAAGAAGUCCAAGCUGGAGUUC
rnacentral:lncRNA from 1 species